GAUGAAGAACGUAGCGAAAUGCGAUAAGUAAUGUGAAUUGCAGAAUUCAGUGAAUCAUCGAAUCUUUGAACGCAUCUUGCGCUCCUUGGUAUUCUGAGGAGCAUGCCUGUUUGAGUGUCAUUAAAUUCUCAACCGCACUGACUUUGAAUUGGUGUGGCUUGGAUUUGGGGGGAAAAUUGUUGUGGGCUUUUUUGUAUAGUCUGCUCCCCUGAAAUUGAUUAGCGGUACCUUUGUGGAACUGUCUACAGGUGUGAUAAUUAUCUACAUCCUAGACAUCUGCUGGAAUGCUGCUUUCUAAACCUUACUUGUAUUGACAAUCUUGACCUCAAAUCAGGUAGGACUACCCGCUGAACUUAAGCAUAUCAAUAGCGGAGGA
rnacentral:misc_RNA from 1 species